rnacentral:rRNA from 1 species
ACACUCCUACGGGAGGCAGCAGUGGGGAAUUUUGGACAAUGGGCGAAAGCCUGAUCCAGCAAUGCCGCGUGAGUGAAGAAGGCCUUCGGGUUGUAAAGCUCUUUUGUCAGGGAAGAAACGGUGAAAGCUAAUAUCUUUUGCUAAUGACGGUACCUGAAGAAUAAGCACCGGCUAACUACGUGCCAGCAGCCGCGGUAAUACGUAGGGUGCAAGCGUUAAUCGGAAUUACUAGGCGUAAAGCGUGCGCAGGCGGUUUUGUAAGUCUGAUGUGAAAUCCCCGGGCUCAACCUGGGAAUUGCAUUGGAGACUGCAAGGCUAGAAUCUGGCAGAGGGGGGUAGAAUUCCACGUGUAGCAGUGAAAUGCGUAGAUAUGUGGAGGAACACCGAUGGCGAAGGCAGCCCCCUGGGUCAAGAUUGACGCUCAUGCACGAAAGCGUGGGGAGCAAACAGGAUUAGAAACCCCGGUAGUCCCAU